rnacentral:lncRNA from 1 species
AAAAUGCUUUUGGUUAAGUAUCUAUUUAGGCUUGUUUCAACGACAAAAUAGAUUGAUUUUUUCCAGCUCUUCACAGAGUAGGCAAUCAACAGGUCCUGAGAGGAUGGAUUCCUCAAACGGAGGGACACUCACUCAUCUGUGAUGUCAGUGUGCAGCCUGGGCCUGGAGUGUAAAAAGCAUGGUUACUGAGUAACGAUAAUGUAGUGCGCAGGGAGACCUCCCUCCUCUCCCACCCUCCGAGUCAGUGUGCUGCUGGGUGACGUGAAAACCAACACUUGGGGGCCAGAUGGGAGCGGGCUAACCUCAAACCCACCCUCUACCAGUUCUGUGACUAGACCAGUGACUUAACCUCUCUGAUGGGCAUCUUGUCAUAUGGGAAUGAUGGCAAAAUACCCACCUCACAGAGUGCCGCAUGCUCAGUAAACAGACCGUGGACUCUGAGUCCCUGUCCCCCUCCCUGCAUCUGACCUACUACCAGAGGGAACGAAGGUUUGUAGCAGGUGAAGUGGGUCUUGUUUGGGCACAGCACCACUGCCCAGCCACCUCUGAGCCUGAAGCAGAAGGAAAAAUCGGUAAUACUCAUCUUUAAAAAAAUUUUUUUUAUAUUUUCUCUAGAAAAAAAAAAAAAAAAAGCAUUCCUAGUGCCUCUGGGUCAGUAUGUUGGGAGGGUUUUCCUGUUCCCUGCCCCACCUGCAUCUGCCAUCUUCCAAGAAAGGAAGGACAGCUGAGUCACUCUUUCAAGCUCUUGUUUACGUUCCCUCUGUCCUUCUCACCACUCUACCCAAGACGUCACACAUCCCCUCUCUUUUUCUGUCAGGCAUCGGUUUCCCAAGGGUGUGCCCCAGACGGCCUGCUCCCCGUAGUUCUGUGAACCCACGAACGGCCCAAAGGACUGGUCUCCCAUGGCUACAAGCACCCCAAUAUACAGACAGAUUGGGCUUCGAGAAGGCUUCCUGGGGCAGUGCAGGUUUUAACUUCAUUGAUGCUUCAUGGGUGGAGUGCAACCAGGAAUAUUCUCACUGAGCACCAGCCGGUCCCGGAGAAAGGGCCUGUGAUCACAUUCCCACAACAGGAGGGUUUCCUGCAGCAAAUCUCCAAUUUCCUCUCUGUUCACCCAUAUCCGCCUUAGUAUACUUGGACGGUGGGGAUUGCUUCCCCCAACCCUGUUGUCAAUGUUUUUUCUCUCACUUCUUGAAAAGAACCUUAAAACGAGAAAAACAGAAGAUUAUCUUUUUAUAAAAAUUGGGAAACAUGGAUAAGCAAACGAAGAAAAUUUAAAAGCCAAAUAAAGUAAUAAAACAAUAAUUUUGUCACCCGGUGGCAACCAGGGUUUAACGAUGUGGCAUACAUCAUUUUGUGUCUGUACUUUUCAAAUGGG